rnacentral:lncRNA from 1 species
CAUCUCAAGGCUUUUGCUGCACUUGUAUUUAUCUUGUGAUGCCUUGACUGUCAAUAAAUCAUUGUUUUUAUGUUCCUAGAGCAGCAACAAUGAAGAAACUCGGAAAUGGCAUUAGAAUUCCAGUUGGGGUUUCAUUCCAAUACUAUUCAGCAUAAACAGAUGUAGCUGAAAGAUGAGCACCUCUAUAGCAUAACAAUUCAGAUAAUAAAAAGACCAACUGUCAUAAAAAUGACCCACACAGUUUUAAAAGAAGUCGGAGAUAGUGAGAGGUGUGUAUUCUUUCAAGAUGAAGCAAAGAGCCACUUUCCAGGCAAGCUGCUAUAGAGGAAACUUUAUGAGUCAACUCAUGACAGAUUAAUCAAUGGGAUUUGUUUUGAAGUUAUCUGUGGU